GACGAACGCUGGCGGCGUGCUUAACACAUGCAAGUCGAACGGAAAGGCCCUGCUUUUGUGGGGUGCUCGAGUGGCGAACGGGGGAGUAACACGCGAGUAACAUGCCCUUGACUUUGGGAGAACUUCAGGAAACUGGGGCGAAUACAGGAUAGGAGCUCCUGCAGCGUGGUGGGGGUUGGAAAGUUUCGGCGGUGGGGGAUGGACUCGCGGCUUAUCAGCUUGUUGGGGGGGUAGUGGCUUACCAAGGCUUUGACGGGUAGCCGGCCUGAGAGGGUGACCGGCCACAUUGGUACUGAGAUACGGCCCAGUCUCCUACGGGAGGCAGCAGUCGGGAAUAUUGCACAGUGGGCGCAAGCCAGAUGCGGCGGCGCCGCGUGCGGGAUGCCGGCCUUCGGGUUGUAAACCGCUUUCGCCUGUGCCGAAGCGUGAGUGACGGUAAUGGGUAAAGAAGCCCCGGCUAACUACGUG
rnacentral:rRNA from 1 species